CGGCUGGCUUAACACAUGCAAGUCGAACGCCCCGCAAGGGGAGUGGCAGACGGGUGAGUAACGCGUGGGAACAUACCCUUUCCUGCGGAAUAGCUCCGGGAAACUGGAAUUAAUACCGCAUACGCCCUACGGGGGAAAGAUUUAUCGGGGAAGGAUUGGCCCGCGUUGGAUUAGCUAGUUGGUGGGGUAAAGGCCUACCAAGGCGACCAUCCAUAGCUGGUCUGAGAGGAUGAUCAACCACAUUGGGACUGAGACACGGCCCAAACUCCUACGGGAGGCAGCAGUGGGGAAUAUUGGACAAUGGGCGCAAGCCUGAUCCAACCAUGCCGCGUGAGUGAUGAAAGCCUUAGGGUUGUAACAGCUCUUUCACCGAUGAAGAUAUGACGGUAGUCGGAGAAGAAGCCCCGGCUUACUUCUGCC
rnacentral:rRNA from 1 species